UGGGGAAUAUUGCACAAUGGGCGCAAGCCUGAUGCAGCCAUGCCGCGUGUAUGAAGAAGGCCUUCGGGUUGUAAAGUACUUUCAGCGGGGAGGAAGGGAGUAAAGUUAAUACCUAUGCUCAUUGACGUUACCCGCAGAAGAAGCACCGGCUAACUCCGUGCCAGCAGCCGCGGUAAUACGGAGGGUGCAAGCGUUAAUCGGAAUUACUGGGCGUAAAGCGCACGCAGGCGGUUUGUUAAUUCAGAUGUGAAAUCCCCGGGCUCAACCUGGGAACUGCAUCUGAUACUGGCAAGCUUGAGUCUCGUAGAGGGGGGUAGAAUUCCAGGUGUAGCGGUGAAAUGCGUAGAGAUCUGGAGGAAUACCGGUGGCGAAGGCGGCCCCCUGGACGAAGACUGACGCUCAGGUGCGAAAGCGUGGGGAGCAAACA
rnacentral:rRNA from 1 species